UACGUAGGGGGCAAGCGUUGUCCGGAAUCAUUGGGCGUAAAGCGCGUGUAGGCGGCCCGGUAAGUCCGCUGUGAAAGUCCAGGGCUCAACCCUGGGAUGCCGGUGGAUACUGUCGGGCUCGAGUCCGGAAGAGGCGAGUGGAAUUCCUGGUGUAGCGGUGAAAUGCGCAGAUAUCAGGAGGAACACCAAUAGCGAAGGCAGCUCGCUGGGACGGUACUGACGCUGAGGCGCGAAAGCGUGGGGAGCGAACAGG
rnacentral:rRNA from 1 species